CCUACGGGGGGCAGCAGUGAGGAAUAUUGGUCAAUGGACGCAAGUCUGAACCAGCCAUGCCGCGUGCAGGAAGACGGCUCUACGAGUUGUAAACUGCUUUUGUACGAGGGUAAAAGCAGCCACGUGUAUCUGUCUGAAAGUACCGUACGAAUAAGGAUCGGCUAACUCCGUGCCAGCAGCCGCGGUAAUACGGAGGUUCAAAGCGUUAUCCGGAUUUAUUGGGUUUAAAGGGGGCGUAGGCGGCGGAUAAAGUAAGGGGUAAAAUCGCGGGGCUCAACCUGGAAUUGCCUCUGAAACUAGUCGGCUUGAGAGUAGUUGCGGUAGGCGGAAUGUGUGGUGUAGCGGUGAAAUGCUUAGAGA
rnacentral:rRNA from 1 species